CAGAGUUGCAAGACUCCCAAAACCAUUGCGAACGCUACCCCUAUCGUUGCUUCGGCGGGCGCAUCCCCCGAGCCCCCCCAGCGGGCGCGGGUGGGAGGCACCGCCGGCGGCACCCCCCCAAACUCUGAUUUUUACCACUGGGCCUCUCUGAGUAAAGCUGUAUCAAAUCAGUCA
rnacentral:misc_RNA from 1 species